rnacentral:lncRNA from 1 species
ACAUCUAGGGUUUUGCCUCGUCUCACAACUUGCACGCCAUCGUAGUCUACCUCAUCCCGAGCGCUGGCGUCCAACGGCGAACGGAAGAUCAGGUCUCCGAAACCAGGCGCCUUUGUGAUCCUGUAUGGGAGAGGGCGAAUUAGGUUUUUGGAAAGCGCUCUGCGCGACUGCUUGCUGCUUCCACAAUGGGUCGUCUACCUAGCAUGUCGGGCGGUGAUGCGUACCGCCGCCUCAAGCGUCGUCUACUUUGUCCCGUCAUCGUCAACGUCAUCGUCAACAACAUAGCUGCACCGAACACAUAUGUUUCAUCUACAAACGUUCGCUACGUGCUCGUGUUUCCGUUGGCGUGAUGAACAUGUUAGAUGCGUACAUGUUUUUCUAUACGGUGUUGCUGCUAUUCAUGUUGUCUACUGCAUCUAGUAUGUUAGAGUUUCACAUGUUAGUAGCUAGUAUGGUCAUGUUUUAUAUUCUGAAAUUAAUCUGAAAAUUGUGCCUAAUUACUCAACAGAAAAGGCUUAUAUUUCAAUAGCAACAAGCGAAUAUCCACGUGAUUGUGUUGUUUGCUCCAAUAAUAAAGUCAGUGUUGUAGCGAGUAAUAUACAAG